UGGUUCUGGCAUCGAUGAAGAACGCAGCGAAAUGCGAUAAGUAAUGUGAAUUGCAGAAUUCAGUGAAUCAUCGAAUCUUUGAACGCACAUUGCGCCCGCUAGUACUCUAGCGGGCAUGCCUGUUCGAGCGUCAUUUCAACCCUCAAGCUCUGCUUGGUGUUGGGGCUCUACGUCUGACGUAGGCCCUGAAAGGAAGUGGCGGGCUCGCUACAACUCCGAGCGUAGUAAUUCAUUAUCUCGCUAGGGAAGUGUGGCGUUCUCCAGCCGUUAAAGACCCCAUCUUUAACCAAGGUUGACCUCGGAUCAGGUAGGAAUACCCGCUGA
rnacentral:misc_RNA from 1 species